rnacentral:tRNA from 1 species
GGGGUUGUAGCUCAGCCUGGGAGAGCACCACGCUGAAGACGUGGGUGUCGCGUGUUCAAAUCACGCCAACCCCA